rnacentral:rRNA from 1 species
GACGAACGCUGGCGGCGUGCUUAACACAUGCAAGUCGAACGGAAAGUCUCUGCUUUUGUGGGCUGCUCGAGUGGUGAACGGGUGAGUAAUACGUGAUUAACCUGCCUUUGACUUUGGGAUUACUUCUGGUACCUGGUGCUAAUACCUGAUAGGAGCUCCUGCUGCAUGGUGGGGGUUGGAAAGUUUCGGCGGUUGGGGAUGGACUCGCGGCUUAUCAGCUUGUUGUUGGGGUAUUGGCUUACCAAGUCUUUGACGGGUAGCCGGCCUGAGAGGGUGACCGGACACAUUAGGACUGAGAUACGGCCCAGACUCGUACGGGAGGCAGGAGUGGAGAAGAGUGCACAAUGGGCGGAAGCCUGAUGCAGCAACGCCGCGUGCGGGAUGACGGCCUUCGGGUUGUAAACCGAUUUCGCCUGUGACGAAACGUGAGUGACGGUAAUGGGGAAAGAAGCACCGGCUAACUACGUG